GACGAACGCUGGCGGCGUGCCUAAUACAUGCAAGUAGAACGCACAGUUUAUACCGUAGCUUGCUACACCAUAGACUGUGAGUUGCGAACGGGUGAGUAACGCGUAGGUAACCUGCCUGGUAGCGGGGGAUAACUAUUGGAAACGAUAGCUAAUACCGCAUAAUAUUAAUUAUUGCAUGAUAAUUGAUUGAAAGAUGCAACUGCAUCACUACCAGCUGGACCUGCGUUGUAUUAGCUAGUAGGUGAGGUAACGGCUCACCUAGGCGACGAUACAUAGCCGACCUGAAGGGGGGGUCGGCCAACCUGGGACUGAGACACGGCCCAGGCUCCUACGGGAGGCAGCAGGAGGGAAUCUUCGGCAAUGGACGAAAGUCUGACCGAGCAACGCCGCGUGAGUGAAGAAGGUUUUCGGAUCGUAAAGAUCUGUUGUAAGAGAAGAACGGGUGUGAGAGUGGAAAGUUCACACUGUGACGGUAUCUUACCAGAAAGGGACGGCUAACUACGUG
rnacentral:rRNA from 1 species